AUGGCGAGCAGCGUGGGGGGAGAUGCCGGGGAAGGGGAGUGGCUCAAGGUCGCCGAGCUGAGGGCCAUGGCGGGAGCCCAGGACCCGCAUGUCAAGGAGGUGGACAACCUGACGCUCCGGAGGUUCCUGCGCGCGCGUGGCCACGACGUGGGCAAGGCCUCGGCGAUGCUGCUCAAGUUCAUGGCGUGGAGGCGGGAGGCCGUGCCGGGGGGCGUCGGCGCCGUCAUGCCGGCGGAGCUGGUGCGGGCGGAGCCGUCGCGCGAGUUGGCCUCCAUGGGCGGGGUCGACCGCGCAGGCCGCCCCGUCCUGCUCGCCUUCCCGGCCAAGCACUUCUCCGCCAACCGGGACAUGGCCGGCUUCAAGCGGCUCGUUGUGUACCUGCUGGACAGUGUCUGCUCGAGGAUCCCACGGGGGCAGGACAAGUUCAUCGUCGUGGUGGACCUCAAGGGGUGGGGGUACGCCAACUGCGACGUGCGCGCGUACGUGGCGGCCAUCGAGAUCAUGCAGAGCUACUACCCGGAGCGGCUGGGCAAGGCGCUCAUGGUCCACGUGCCCUACAUCUUCAUGAAGGCCUGGAAGAUGGUGUACCCCUUCAUCGACGCGAACACCAGGGACAAGUUCGUGUUCGUGGACAACAAGAGCCUGGAGGGGGCGCUGCGGCGGGAGAUGGACGAGAGCCAGGUGCCGGAGAUGUACGGCGGGAAGCUGCCCGUUGCCCCCCUCACCGACGACUAG
rnacentral:rRNA from 1 species